UGCCAAGCUGUACCAUGCUGGUUGAGAUGCUGUGUGCCUUCUGCUUCCCCCAAGCAGACACUUGCCUGGCAUAGGGCAGAAGGACAAGUUGGAUGCUGCAGAACUGAAGCCAUGUGAGGUGUCUCCAGGUAUGAGGUGUCUCCAGCUGUUUGAGUUUUGCCUUCACUGUGCACCAAACUGAUCUUUCCCAAGAGCUUCCCUCACAACCCCAAGCCAGUGAUGCUCCUCAGCAGUGAUGCUCACCUUAUGGACCACUGCAGCACAGGCAGGACCUCCUCACAGCCCCUGGACCUGGGAGGAUGCUGAGGAGCAGGGAUGUGUGCACGCAUUCAUUCAGCAAGCACCACCAAGUACCUGCAGCUGCAUCCUCUCUACUCAGACCUUACUCAAGGCCUGGCCCAAACCUCAGCAAGCUGAGAAAAGCAGAACAGCAUUGCUGAGACAGAUCUGAUUUCCCUCCCCUCCCUUCUGGGGCAGGGAGGAUUAGCUGGGAGAAUAGAUUAAUAAAUCCAGCAACUUUUCCCCUGGCAACCACUCUGCUUAAAGGGCUAACCUGGCAGCAGAUCCUGAAGAUGUGAGAGCUGAUGAAUGCUGGUAGGAUCAUCACCCUGAGGCAUGAGAAUGUGUUGCCUUUCCAGGCUGGGCAGAGGAAUCUAAUUGCUGUGUUCUCCCUAAUUGAAAUGAAAAAUGCUGCCGCAUCGACCCGCUGCAAACCUUGCAGGGCUUCUGCCUUCCUCCCUCAUCCACUGCAGCUCCUGGAAUCUGAGUGAAAGCCUCGUGGAUGAUGGUUUUGGGGUGAAUUCACAGCUUUUGAUUUGAUAUAUUUUUCCUCUCCCUCCCCACCCUCAUCCCCCUUUGAUUUGCUUUGGUGCGUGCCUGGAUUUGUUGUCGCCGGGCGAGGUGACAGUUUGGAGUUGAAGCCUCCUGGCUGUAGGUGCUACAGCUCCUGCAAGUGUGAGAAUGAAUGAAAGCUCAGAUGGGAA